GACGUAGGGCGCGAGCGUUGUCCGGAUUUAUUGGGCGUAAAGAGCUCGUAGGCGGUCUGUCGCGUCGGCUGUGAAAACUCGGGGCUCAACCCCGAGCCUGCAGUCGAUACGGGCAGACUAGAGUGCUGUAGGGGAGACUGGAAUUCCUGGUGUAGCGGUGAAAUGCGCAGAUAUCGGGAAGAACACCCGUGGCGAAGGCGGCUCUCUGGGACGGUACUGACGCUGAGACGCGAAAGCGUGGGGAGCGAACAGG
rnacentral:rRNA from 1 species